UCUCAUUCUUCCUCUUCAACCUUCUCCAUUUUCUCCCUUCAGAACCACCUUCUUUAUUCUCUUUCUUCCAUUUCCUCCUUCCUUCCUCCCCACUUCAUUCUUCAUUCCUCUUUCACCUUCCAUUAACCCCUCGUCCUUUCGUUCCACCUUCCAAGACUCAUGGAUUUUCUAUCCUUUCUCCCGCGAAACCCAAUUCUGGUUUUACUUUCUAUCUUACAACACUAGAAUUGUAGAAUGAAGAAAAUGCAAGAGUGGUAGGGGAAACAACAUCCCUUAGAGUGUGUUCAUCUGCAAGUUUCUUCUACAACAUAUCGAAGAUUUUUUUGGUCUAUAGAGAGCCUAAAACUUAGCUGUUGAGAAUGGAUUCCCAGUCUUAAGGGAAGCCCAAGAUUUAGUCUAGAUAAGAGAUUUUUUAUCUUUAGAAAGAGCCUAAGAUUUAUGAGUGAAAGAAUUUUGUUGAUCAUAAGGGAAGAAUAUCACUAUGAGAGGGAGUCUAACUCACGAUUAGUUAUUGAAAGUGUCUACUUGAAGAAAGCCUAAGUAUACUUGAAAGUGAGUCUCACAUCUAGGAGGAGCCUAGGUGAAUUAUGAGUUAAGCUCUACAUGAGCCACUGUAGUUGCUUUUUGGUACAAAUAAUGAAAGAUGUAGUUAUCAUGCAGUGAAAGUCGUUGAAUAAAAAAACUCUUAAUUACAUUAAUUUAAGGAUUAAA